rnacentral:lncRNA from 1 species
AUGCAUUGAACACUCAUCAUUUGAAGACGAAGUUAAAAUUUAAUUUAAACAAAGACUACAGAUUACAACUACUAUUACAAACGAUAUUUUAAAUAAUUAAAAAAAAUCAUACUAACGUAUUUGUAAUUAAACGAUAAUCCAUUACCAGUACUGUAGAUCUAUAUAAUAAAGCAAAGUACCCAUUAAAAUCAGAAAUCUUCAUCAAUUUUGAACACAUGGGCGUCUCCGUUUCCAUUCAAACUUGACAUGACUGAUGCCUUCUGGUAUUCACCAACCCUCUUCUCAAAGAAAUUUGUUUUCCCCUGUAAACUGAUCAAUUCCAUCCAAUCAAAUGGGUUUUGAACAUUGUAUAAUUUGCUGUACCCAAGUGCAUUCAGCAGUCUAUCGGCUACAAAUUCAAUGUACUGACUCAUCAGAUAACCGUUCAUCCCGACCAGGGCACAAGGAAGCGCAUCGCUGACAAAUUCCCUCUCGAUAUCCACCGCAUCAGCAACAAUUCCCUUGA